UGUAAUGAUGAUACCAUUAGACUAGAGUCUCUGAGAUCCUGAUGUUAUAUUUGCCAACUGAACA